CACUGACAUUAGAUACCCCUGUAGUCCUAGCCGUAAACGAUACUCACUAGGUGUCGGCCACGGUGCGACCGUUGUCGGUGCCGUAGGGAAGCCGUGAAGCGAGCCACCUGGGAAGUACGGCCGCAAGGCUGAAACUUAAAGGAAUUGGCGGGGGAGCACAACAACGGGUGGAGCUUGCGGUUUAAUUGGAUUCAACGCCGGAAAUCUUACCGGGACCGACAGCAACAUGAAGGCCAAGCUGAAGACUUUGCCGGAUUAGCUG
rnacentral:rRNA from 1 species